UGGGGAAUAUUGCACAAUGGAGGGAACUCUGAUGCAGCGACGCCGCGUGAACGAAGAAGGCUUUCGAGUCGUAAAGUUCUUUUAUAUGGGAAGAUAAUGACGGUACCAUAAGAAAAAGCCCCGGCUAACUACGUGCCAGCAGCCGCGGUAAUACGUAGGGGGCUAGCGUUGUCCGGAAUCACUGGGCGUAAAGGGUUCGCAGGCGGAAAUGCAAGUCAGGUGUAAAAGGCAGUAGCUUAACUACUGUAAGCAUUUGAAACUGCAUAUCUUGAGAAGAGUAGAGGUAAGUGGAAUUUUUGGUGUAGCGGUGAAAUGCGUACAUAUUAAAAAGAAUACCGGUGGCGAAGGCGACUUACUGGGCUCAUUCUGACGCUGAGGAACGAAAGCGUGGGUAGCAAACAGG
rnacentral:rRNA from 1 species